AUUGAACGCUGGCGGCAUGCUUUACACAUGCAAGUCGAACGGUAACAGGGUGCUUGCACCGCUGACGAGUGGCGAACGGGUGAGUAAUGCGUCGGAACGUGCCGAGUAGUGGGGGAUAACGCAUCGAAAGGUGUGCUAAUACCGCAUACGUACUGAGGUAGAAAGUGGGGGACCUUCGGGCCUCAUGCUAUUCGAGCGGCCGACGUCUGAUUAGCUAGUUGGUGAGGUAAAGGCUCACCAAGGCGACGAUCAGUAGCGGGUCUGAGAGGAUGAUCCGCCACACUGGGACUGAGACACGGCCUAGACUCCUACGGGAGGCAGCAGUGGGGAGUUUUGGACAAUGGGCGCAAGCCUGAUCCAGCCAUGCCGCGUGUCUGAAGAAGGCCUUCGGGUUGUAAAGGACUUUUGUCCGGGAGCAAAUGCCUGGUGUUAAUAGCAUCGGGAGCUGAGAGUACCGGAAGAAUAAGCACCGGCUAACUACGUGCCAGCCGCCGCCGUAAUAC
rnacentral:rRNA from 1 species